rnacentral:rRNA from 1 species
CCUACGGGCGACAGCAGUGAGGAAUAUUGGUCAAUGGGCGGAAGCCUGAACCAGCCAAGUCGCGUGAGGGAAUAAGGCCCUACGGGUCGUAAACCUCUUUUGCCGGGGAGCAAGGGCGGGGACGUGUCCCGGCCCGGAGAGUACCCGGAGAAAAAGCAUCGGCUAACUCCGUGCCAGCAGCCGCGGUAAUACGGAGGAUGCGAGCGUUAUCCGGAUUUAUUGGGUUUAAGGGGUGCGCAGGCGGAGGUGCAAGUCAGCGGUAAAAUUGCGGGGCUCAACCCCGUACUGCCGUUGAAACUGCAUGCCUUGAGUGCGCGAGAAGUAUGCGGAAUGCGUGGUGUAGCGGUGAAAUGCAUAGAUAUCACGCAGAACUCCGAUUGCGAAGGCAGCAUACCGGCGCGCAACUGACGCUCAUGCACGAAAGCGUGGGUAUCGAACAGGAUUAGAUACCCGAGUAGUC